ACGAACGCUGGCGGCGUGCUUAACACAUGCAAGUCGAGCGGUAAGGCCCCUUCGGGGGUACACGAGCGGCGAACGGGUGAGUAACACGUGGGUGACCUGCCCUCAGCUCUGGGAUAAGCCUGGGGAAACUGGGUCUAAUACCGGAUAUGACUCCAUGACGCAUGUCGUGGGGUGGAAAGGCCUUGUGCGGCUGGGGGAUGGGCCCGCGGCCUAUCAGCUUGUUGGUGGGGUGAUGGCCACCAAGGCGACGACGGGUAGCCGGCCUGAGAGGGCGACCGGCCACACUGGGGACUGAGACACGGCCCAGGACUCCUACGGGAGGCAGCAGUGGGGAAUCUUGCGCAAUGGGCGAAAGCCUGACGCAGCGACGCCGCGUGAGGGAUGACGGCCU
rnacentral:rRNA from 1 species